rfam:Schistosoma haematobium scaffold217_8, whole genome shotgun sequence.
AGCCAACUGACAAGUCCUGAACAGGACGAAGCACGCGUCCUGGAU